GACCUUGUAGCGCAUUGGAUAGCACGUUGGACAUCUAAUCCAAAGAUCGUGGGUUCGAAUUCCACCUGGGUUG
rnacentral:tRNA from 1 species